GGAAAAUUUCCAAACCGUAGGUAGUGGCGAAUCUCAUCCAGAAGUACUACAUAAUAAUAAAAGAAAGAAGCAUCAUCUUGAAAAUGAGGGCUGCAAUAGAUUGUCAUAUCAAGCACCAUCAUCACCAGCCCAUCCUGUUUUUGAUGGAGAGAUGAGAAAGAGCUUGGAGAAUAUGGAUGGAAAUUUGACUAGAGUACACAAACAAAGCACUCAAGACAAGUCUGUAGUCCAUGUGCCCUCUAAGCAGAAACGCAG